rnacentral:rRNA from 1 species
GACGAACGCUGGCGGCGCGCCUAACACAUGCAAGUCGAGCGAUGAAAUUUUAACCGAUCUCUUCGGAGAGAAGAUAAAAUGGAUUAGCGGCGGACGGGUGAGUAACACGUGAGAAACCUGCCUUUCACAAGGGGAUAGCCUCGGGAAACCGGGAUUAAUACCCUAUGACACAUUUCCUUCGCAUGGAAGAAAUGUUAAAACUCCGGUGGUGAAAGAUGGUCUCGCGCCUGAUUAGCUAGUUGGUGGGGUAACGGCCCACCAAGGCCAUGAUCAGUAACCGGCCUGAGAGGGUGAACGGUCACAUUGGAACUGGGACACGGUCCAAACUCCUACGGGAGGCAGCAGUGGGGAAUAUUGCACAAUGGAGGAAACUCUGAUGCAGCGACGCCGCGUGAGCGAUGAAGGCUUUCGAGUCGUAAAGCUCUGUCCUAUGGGAAGAUAAUGACGGUACCAUAGGAGGAAGCCCCGGCUAACUACGUG